CACGUGUUUUCGGUCUUGACAGCUCUUCGACUUGUCACGUUUUAUUUCGCACUCGAAGCGAUGAACAGAUAGAGCAAAAUAUCUCUUCUUUUGGCCUACAUUUUGCUCUAAAUUUAUCGACUAGCAGAUGUUGACAUUUCCAUUUGUCGUGGAAUCAUAAUUUUGGCACGAGGCGGUGGAGAAAUUGCAAAUAUCCUUUAAAAUGUUGACAUGGUGUACAGAGUUCAUGUUUACUCUGGAUGGACCAUUUUGUGCUGGAAACUCAAUUCGUCAAAGGCUCAACAAGGAACACUGAAUUGAAAUGAAGUUUGUUUACAUCAAACGCCGCUGCAUACAAUUUACAGACGGCCUGGAGGUGUCUUAUUCCUGCUCAUGCAAUAAAGAUGAGGAAUCUCUUUUAGACGGACUGGAUGAUAAAGUAGAUAUUUCUGUUCAAGAAUGGGAUACCACCCAUCCAAGUAGCUGCCUGCAUGUCAAGACCUGCAGACUUAUUCUUUAAUGAUUUGAUGCAAUAUAUGCCGACACGUUAAACCAAGACCAAGAAGUUUGUCUAAAAAUUAAAUAAUUGUUCAUCUAGAUGAUAAAAGUUGGGAUGUCACUUUGAACAAGGGAAAGCUGAUGAAGUUGGCGAGAGUUUGUCUUGCCGACAUUGGAAUGACCGUAUGUGUUUGUCUCCGUAGUUCAUUUUGUGGAAAGUGUGAGAAAAGUGGAAAAAACGAGGUCAACAGAAGACAAAUGUAGUGACAUGCCGUGUUAUUAUGCUGACAGUGAGUGACACACUCACUGGAUCGAGUGUGAGGUGUGGGCUCACAACUUCUGCGACUAAGCCAGUUCUGAUGCAUCAAGUUACAUCUGUUGAAUGUGUCGCGAUUCAAAGCAAUAAAGUUAUUUCAGAAAAA